GGACACAGAGAGGGCCUUCUCAGCGGCUGUGCCUUGACUAUGGAACUCCCUACCAAGGGAGGACCCACUUUGCUCCUUCUCUAUCACCAGUUGAGCACCAGAAGAGCUGUUUUGUUCUGAGCAUGUAAUAAGUGUUGCUGCCGGGAAUCCCUAAAAGGACAAGUUCUAGGAGAUUGAAUGAGACAGACAAAGGUGCUGUGCCAGUUGGUCUGAUGGUGACUCGAGGUCGGGUCUUCUUAGUAGCCACUUCUGGGUUAUGGAUCACACUCAUACUCCCAGUGGAAAUAUGAGGAUCCCACACUACGACAAACUUCAGUGGUGAAGAAGAUAAGAUUCAACGGAGGGAUUGCAGGAGAAGGAAGAAGAGCAAAGUGCAGGAGACAGGACAGGCUGCUGCAAAGAAAAUGGAUACAGCAUACAACUGGCUGGGAUGUAGUGUGCAUGUGUGUGCACAUGUGCCUUUGCUCAAGCAGUGAUCCUCCAUGCAAUAAUGAGGGUGUGCCAAAGAGGAAGGUCAGGUAUCAUCAAACCAGAUGGGAAAGCUUGGGCCAAAAGUUGCAGUGACCGAGAAGAUAGUUGUUUUGCAUAGAAUGAGUGUAUGCAUAUGAAAGGACUUUCAUUGUGACAUACAGAAACUUGAACUAUCACCCCAAAUGCUA